AUGAAGAUUCCGAGGAAUGAAAGCCAUGGAAGUACAUCAAAUAUGGAGGAGUAUCAAGAGGUUGUUGUUGCAAAGCUACAGACUGAAGCACAGUGGCGCCGGUUAAUACCGAAGUUGCAGAGAAAAAGAGCAUUGAAAACGCAGGGAAUCAGAGGGGGCUUAGAGGUUGUGAUUUUCAGAGAGUGUGCAAAGCAGUGA